UGCGCAUGUGCGGUCAUACACCUGGAGGAGUGGCCGGAAAGGGUGGAGUCAUAUGAUUCGGGAGGAACAGAGCCCUCAGGAGCACACAUGGAGCACUGGCCACCAUCUCUUAUGUUCCUUGGGCUCUAGGAAGUGAGACGGAUCACGCACGUCAGACUUGAAGAAGCUGCCCCGGUUGCAAAGAGAGGCUCAGGGAACAUCAUGGAAGACACCCCACAUGCCACCUACUGGAUUCCAUCCCUUGCUGUGAGACAUUUUGAUUUCAGCUCAGCUGCCCUUCAUUUGCCAGAGCUCUGUAGGAAGUCACAGUGAGAUGGACUCCGCUACCCUAGGUCUGCAGAACCGGAGCACGUGGCACUCAAUCACCUCCCCUUCCAUUUCACGGAGCUCCUCUUCACUAAGAGCUAGAAGGAGAAGGAAGGACUCUUCAGCCAGGCAGCAGGCAACAUUCCAGAUGCUCCUUCCUAACACACAUCAGUUCUUUAUGUUUUUUUGGUAGGUUGUUUUUGUUUUGUUUUGUUUUGAAUUGUGUGGUAUUGGGGAUUAAACCCAGGGCAAUGUGCAUGU